rnacentral:rRNA from 1 species
AUGCUCAAACGUGAGCCAAGCAAACAAAGUGGACAGGGGUCUACCUCUGAUGACCAUAUGGUAAAAAUGUUUACUGAACUUUGGAAGGUCGCAUGUCCACCAAAAGUGCACCACUUUCUAUGGAGAUUAGCUCUAAACAGCCACCCAAUGUAUAUGAAUAUAAGCAGACGGGGAGUUGAGCUUGAUACAAGAUGUGCAGUUUGUGGGCGACUGUUUGAAGAUGGUGGCCAUCUUUUCCUGAAGUGCAAGUUUGUCAAACAGAGGUGGCGAGCGCUACAACUGAAAGAUGUUAGAAUGCACCUAGCUAAGUGCAACUCGACCAAGGAGGUGGUGCAGGCUACCUUGAGGCUGACUGAAGAAAAGAAAUUGCUUACAGUGGCGCUCUUAUGGUGCUGGUGGAAGGAGCGUAACAAGGGCAGGCAUGGCGAAUGCCAACUCAACACUGAAGAAUUUCAAUUCACAGUCCGCAGGCAUGUCAGUGAGUGGAUAGAAUUUCUAGCACCGAAACUUUCUUCCCAGCAAAUCCCUCGCAGUUCCUGGAAAGCACCGCCGCAGGACAUGGUGAAGAUAAACGUGGAUGCUGCGUUUUCAGCAGAAACAGGAAAGGGUGGCUGGGGCUUUAUAUGUAGAGACUACUUAGGAGAAAUUCAGUUUGCAGCAGUAGGGGCUGGGCAAGAUUACUCUUGCACUCUGCAUGCUGAGACAGAGGCUUUGCGCCAAGCGGUGGCCAUGGCGGAUCAAAUUGGG